rnacentral:rRNA from 1 species
UACAGAGGGUGCGAGCGUUGUCCGGAAUCACUGGGCGUAAAGGGCGCGUAGGCGGCUUGAUAAGGUUGCGGUGAAAGCCCGGGGCUCAACCCCGGGUCGGCCGUGGCAACUGUCGAGCUGGAGCACUGUAGAGGCAGGUGGAAUUCCGGGUGUAGCGGUGGAAUGCGUAGAGAUCAGGAAGAACACCCGUGGCGAAGGCGGCCCACUGGGCCGGAACUGACGCUGAGGCGCGAAGGCGUGGGGAGCGAACGGG